AGCUGUUCCCCUCUGGAGGUUUUUAACCUUCACACCUAUAGGGCCCUGGUUUAUUCCGGUGGCCCUUUUUUUUGCCCAAU
rnacentral:sRNA from 1 species